GACGAACGCUGGCGGCGUGCUUAACACAUGCAAGUCGAACGGUGAAGCGCCUUCCUUUUUGGUGGGUGUGGAUGAGUGGCGAACGGGUGAGUAACACGUGAGUAACCUGCCCCCUUCUUCUGGAUAACCGCAUGAAAGUGUGGCUAAUACGGGAUAUUCUGGGUCUGUCGCAUGAUGGGUCUGGGAAAGAUAUUGUUUCGGUGGGGGAUGGGCUCGCGGCCUAUCAGCUUGUUGGUGGGGUGAUGGCCUACCAAGGCGGUGACGGGGAGCCGGCCUGAGAGGGUGGGCGGUCCCACUGGGACGGAGACACGGCCCAGACUCCUACGGGAGGCAGCAGUGGGUACUAUUGCACGAUGGGCGCAAGCCUGAUGCAGCGACGCCGCGUGAGGGAUGGAGGCCUGCGGGUUGUGAACCUCUUUCGCCAGUGAAGCAGGCCUGCCUCGUUUGUGGGUGGGUUGACGGUAGCUGGAUAAGAAGCGCCGGCUAACUACGUG
rnacentral:rRNA from 1 species